rnacentral:rRNA from 1 species
AUAUUAAAGUUGUUGCAGUUAAAAAGCUCGUAGUUGAAACUUGGGCCUGGCUGGCGGGUCCGCCUCACCGCGUGCACUCGUCCGGCCGGGCCUUCCUUCUGAAGAACCUCAUGCCCUUCACUGGGCGUGCUGGGGAAUCAGGACUUUUACUUUGAAAAAAUUAGAGUGUUCAAAGCAGGCCUUUGCUCGAAUACGUUAGCAUGGAAUAAUAAAAUAGGGCGUGCGUUUCUAUUUUGUUGGUUUCUAGAGACGCCGCAAUGAUUAACAGGAACAGUCGGGGGCAUCAGUAUUCCGUUGUCA